GCGUGGAGACAGGUGGUGCAUGGCUGUCGUCAGCUCGUGUCGUGAGAUGUUGGGUUAAGUCCCGCAACGAGCGCAACCCUCACCCCUAGUUGCCACCGGGUAAAGCCGAGCACUCGAGGGGAACUGCCAGCGUCAAGCUGGAGGAAGGCGGGGAUGACGUCAAGUCAUCAUGCCCCUUACGCCCUGGGCUACACACGUGCUACAAUGGCCGGUACAAAGGGACGCGAGACUGCAAAGUGGAGCUAAUCCCAAAAAACCGGUCUAAGUUCAGAUUGCAGUCUGCAACUCGACUGCGUGAAGGAGGAAUCGCUAGUAAUCGCGCAUCAGCACGGCGCGGUGAAUACGUUCCCGGGCCUUGUACACACCGCCCGUCACACCACGAAAGCUGUCUGUACUCGAAGUCGCUGAG
rnacentral:rRNA from 1 species